UACGGGGAGGGCAAGUGUUAUUCAUUGGGAUUUCGGCGUAAAGGGUACGUAGACAGUUUGUAAGAUUGAGUAUGAAAGAUCAUAGGUGACUAUGGAAUAGUAUUUAAUAUAGAAACUUUGAGUAUAUAAAGGAUAACAGAAUUUUUAGAGUAAAGGUGAAAUUUUAAGAUACUAAAAAGAACGUUUGUGGCUGAUGCAGUUAUCUAGGUAAUACUGACGUUGAGGUACGAGAGCGUAGGGAGCAAACAGG
rnacentral:rRNA from 1 species